ensembl:antisense
GAAGGGAUGCAAAAAACGGAGACCAGACAGGAGCUACUUUGGUCACUCACGGCUGCAAAAUGCUGUCCCGGUAGCGGCGGCGCUGGCAAGCCACGGCCCGGGGCCUACUGGUAUAGGUGUAGGUGCCUGAGGCCUCGGCGGUCCGAGGGUUACGGUCUGUCAUCGCCGACGCCAUGUUGAGGGUCGAACUGCUUCCCCUUCGGUGAAGGUGGGCUCUGAAGCAGGUGGGGGCUAAGGAGUCGUCGUAGUCGGAGACUUGUCUCUUGGGUUUGCCGUCAACUACUGGGAAGACUUCCUCGGUAAAGGGGUCUUCAGCUUCAUCACCUUCAGAACAGGAGGCUUCCUGGGGCAGAGUGAAGCUGUCCUCACUCCUUGUUAGCUUUUGCUUGGUUAUCGGGCCCACGAGGCACUCUCGUGAGGGUGACAUGUUGGGUUCAGAGAACCGCCUGUCUUGUUGGACAAUGGAGCUUUUCAGCCUGGCUACCAUGCUAAUGCUGGAGUCUGAGCUUGACUCACAGGUGUCCCGGUGGUCCCGGGUAUCCAGGCCAGCCAUUGUGGUAGUGGGACCCUCCAGUUGCCUGUUGGGAGAGGCUGCGCCACUCGUGGGCUCCACAUCUGGGUCAUUGCUGUCAUAGGCCGAGUCAUUCUGCAGAGUUGACACGUCUGAGGAAAGUUAAGGAAGAGGUGAGCAUUCUGUCCAGGCUCUCUUAGUGAAUACCCUAUUUAUACCGAUGAUGCUUUGGUGGAAAUGUACUGGGGCCUGAUCCGACAAUAAGCUGAGUACACU